rnacentral:snRNA from 1 species
GUUGUUUAAAUUCACGAUCUUUU